rnacentral:rRNA from 1 species
AUUGAACGCUGGCGGAAUGCUUUACACAUGCAAGUCGAACGGCAGCACGGACUUCGGUCUGGUGGCGAGUGGCGAACGGGUGCGUAAUACAUCGGAACGUGCCCAAUCGUGGGGGAUAACGUAGCGAAAGCUACGCUAAUACCGCAUACGAUCCAAGGAUGAAAGCGGGGGAUCGCAAGACCUCGCUCGAUUGGAGCGGCCGAUGGCAGAUUAGGUAGUUGGUAGGGUAAAGGCCUACCAAGCCGACGAGCUGUAGCUGGUCUGAGAGGAUGAUCAGCCACACUGGGACUGAGACACGGCUCAGACUCCUACGGGAGGCAGCAGUGGGGAAUUUUGGACAAUGGACGCAAGUCUGAUCCAGCCAUUCCGCGUGCAGGAUGAAGGCCCUCGGGUUGUAAACUGCUUUUGUACAGAACGAAAAGGCUCUGGUUAAUACCUAGGGCUCAUGACGGUACUGUAAGAAUAAGCACCGGCUAACUACGUGCCAGCCGCCGCCGUAA